rnacentral:rRNA from 1 species
GUCUAUGGCUAUACAACCCUGAACAUGCCUGAUUUUGUCUGAUCUCAGAAGCUAAACAGGGUCGAGCCUGAUUAACACUUAGGUGGAAGACAAAGAGGACAACUUGGAGAUAGGAGACA